rnacentral:tRNA from 1 species
AGGUAUAGCUCAGUGGUAGAGUGCAUGCUUAGCAUGCACAAGGUCCUGGGUUCAAUCCCCAGUACUU